rnacentral:rRNA from 1 species
UUGGAGGGCAAGUCUGGUGCCAGCAGCCGCGGUAAUUCCAGCUCCAAUAGCGUAUAUUAAAGUUGUUGCAGUUAAAAAGCUCGUAGUUGAAUUUCGGGAUCAAUUAAUUGGUCGUGCCUAUGGUACGUACUGAUUUUAUUGGUUCCUCCCUUCUGACGAACCAUGAUGUCAUUAAUUUGGUGUCGUGGAGAAUCAGGACUGUUACUUUGAAAAAAUUAGAGUGUUUAAAGCAAGCUAACGCUUGAAUACAUUAGCAUGGAAUAAUGAAAUAGGACGUUUGAUCCUAUUUUGUUGGUUUCUAGGAUCGACGUAAUGAUUAAUAGGGAUAGUUGGGGGCAUUAGUAUUCAAUUGUCAGAGGUGAAAUUCUUGGAUUUAUUGAAGACUAACUACUGCGAAAGCAUUUGCCAAGGAUGUUUUCAUUAAUCAAGAACGAAAGUUAGGGGAUCGAAGACGAUCAGAUACCGUCGUAGUCUUAACCAUAAACUAUGCCGACUAGGGAUCGGAUGAUGUUAAUUUUUUAAUGACUCAUUCGGCGCCUUACGGGAAACCAAAGUGUUUGGGUUC